GCGCGUGUCGCUCAAUCUGGCAGAAGCAACGGUUUUAAGCAUCGUUCAGUGCGAGUUCAAAUCUCGUCACGCGCA
rnacentral:tRNA from 1 species